rnacentral:rRNA from 1 species
CCUACGGGAGGCAGCAGUGAGGAAUAUUGGUCAAUGGGCGCGAGCCUGAACCAGCCAAGUAGCGUGAAGGAUGACUGCCCUACGGGUUGUAAACUUCUUUUAUAAAGGAAUAAAGUGAGGCACGUGUGCCUUUUUGUAUGUACUUUAUGAUUAAGGAUCGGCUAACUCCGUGCCAGCAGCCGCUGUAAUACGGAGGAUCCGAGCGUUAUCCGGAUUUAUUGGGUUUAAAGGGAGCGUAGAUGGGUUGUUAAGUCAGUUGUGAAAGUUUGCGGCUCAACCGUAAAAUUGCAAUUGAUACUGGCAGCCUUGAGUACAGUUGAGGUAGGCGGAAUUCGUGGUGUAGCGGUGAAAUGCUUAGAUAUCACGAAGAACCCCGAUUGCGAAGGCAGCUUACUAAACUGUGACUGACAUUGAUGCUCGAAAGUGUGGGUAUCAAACAGGAUUAGAUACCCGAGUAGUC